GUCAAAAACAGUAGCAGUACAUCAUGUUGUUUUUGUUGUUAAAACGCCUUGACAAUGGCUAUAAUUGCAUUUGUUUCUUACUUACCUUAAUAUUACAUAAACUGUUGAUGAUUAACAGCUGCCAGAAAUACACCUGUCGUAAACCCUGAUAUAGACAACCUUGUCAGUGCCGUCACAUUUGGAAAAGGAAUGAGACCAUCAAAGAAUUCAAAACAAAAGCUAAAAGGUUCAGCAGAUUCAGUCGGUAAAAUGUCAAGUUCAGUAAAAAGUGAACUCAAAGCUUCCACCAGUUCUCAUCCCUAUGCUAGCAACAGGCCAUAACUAGCAAAGGAGGUCUCUUUUCUAUGUACAUAUCAUAAAAUAUUUUUGUAAGUUAUAGAAAUGUAAAUGAAUAAAAAUAUUGUUUAUUAUUGGA